rnacentral:rRNA from 1 species
GACGAACGCUGGCGGCGUGCCUAAUACAUGCAAGUAGAACGCUGAAGAGAGGAGCUUGCUCUUCUUGGAUGAGUUGCGAACGGGUGAGUAACGCGUAGGUAACCUGCCUUGUAGCGGGGGAUAACUAUUGGAAACGAUAGCUAAUACCGCAUAACAAUGGAUGACACAUGUCAUUUAUUUGAAAGGGGCAAUUGCUCCACUACAAGAUGGACCUGCGUUGUAUUAGCUAGUAGGUGAGGUAAUGGCUCACCUAGGCGACGAUACAUAGCCGACCUGAGAGGGUGAUCGGCCAAACUGGGAAUGAGACAAGGCCCAGACUCCUACGGGAGGCAGCAGUAGGGAAUCUUCGGGAAUGGGGGCAACCCUGACCGAGCAACGCCGCGUGAGUGAAGAAGGUUUUCGGAUCGUAAAGCUCUGUUGUAAGUCAAGAACGGGUGUGAGAGUGGAAAGUUCACACUGUGACGGUAGCUUACCAGAAAGGGACGGCUAACUACGUG